AAGCUCAGGUCCUUCCUCAUGUGAUCGGAUUAAUCUUUCGCCUUUUACUAAAGAUUACCGUGGGGAAGGACAUUCCAAUAAGCGUUAAAGGCAAUUUUUGUAAGGCCUUGCUUGUUUGAGCCG
rnacentral:snRNA from 1 species